CAGGGUGUAGCUUAGCUUGGGAAAGCGUAUGCUUCGGGAGCAUAAGACCGUGAGUUCAAAUCUCACCAUCCUGACCA
rnacentral:tRNA from 1 species